CCUUCUACACUCGGGAUUGCAUUGUCGUCUACAUUUUCAAUGAAAUAUACGAAAAUCGAUGUUUUAACGAAAUAUCGCAAAAGUGAUAACGAAAACGUGAUUAAGUAAUCACAGAGUGCAUGAAACAAUUAAACAAUUGGUAAUGCAAAUGUAACAAGUGCACUCACCAGUGAUGAAUCCUACAGAGGGGUGGAGAGGAGGAGGGACACUUGCGGAUUCACUCCACUUUAGGCUGAUCGAAAGACAUACAAAUCACUUAAUGGACACUCGCGGCACUUGCAUCAGCAGGAUCGCGAAUCACUCACAAAAUUCACUCAAAAUGCAUACCACCGACACGAUUGCGGACACGAAGACGAAGUUGAGGCGCGUAACUGACUGAAUCUCGCGUUUGAAUAUCUUGAGUUAUUGAACUCGCGCUGUGAUUGGCCGAGCGUCACGCCGUAAUCUUAAGUAACGCUGAGCUGUCAUUGGCCAAGCGUCGCGUCGUAAUCGUAAGCAGCGCUCAGCUGUUAUUGGCCAAUCUUCGCGCCUAAAUUUUAAACGAGCCUAAAUUAAUCAUCCUAAAUGUUUAAAUUUCGCUAAUGAUACAAGAGCGUGAGAUAUCCGCAAAAUGUAAAUAAUCUCGUUUUGUUUCGAAAAAUGGAAAAAUCUUGCACGAAUAAUAUUCCAAUAAAAAUUUGCUGCAUAUUCAAAGAUUUCAGAGAUAUCUAUCCUUUUCAUCUGAAUUAUAUGCGUGCGAUUAUUUCUUCUACAAUUGCACACGUAUUUAGAAAUACUCGAUAUAUAUGUCAUGAUAGUGUUAUCAUUAAAAAUCUAAUUCGUUUACACGACCUUCGGUAGCCGUGAUCGUCUAGUGGUUAGGACCCUACGUUGUGGCCGUAGUAACCCAGGUUCGAAUCCUGGUCACGGCAAUGUAUAAAAACAUUGUCACGGCGAAGGUAUUUUUUU